rnacentral:rRNA from 1 species
CUCAGUUCGGAUUGGAGUCUGNAACCCGACUCCAUGAAGCUGGAUUCGCUAGUAAUCGCGCAUCAGCCACGGCGCGGUGAAUACGUUCCCGGGCCUUGUACACACCGCCCGUCAAGCCAUGGAAGCCGGGAGUGCCUGAAGUGCGUGAGCGCAAGCAGCGCCCUAAGGUAAAACCGGUGACUGGGGCUAAGUCGUAACAAGGUAUC